rnacentral:rRNA from 1 species
CCAGACUUGGGCUUGGUUAAUCAUCUGGGGUUCUCCCCAGUGCACUUUUCCAGUCCAGGCCAGCAUCAGUUUUCCCCGGGGGAUAAAGGUCUCUGUCAUGUACCUCUCUUCGGGGAGAACUUAUAGGGGAGACGACAUGCAACCAGCCUGGACUGAGGUCCGCGCAUCUGCUAGGAUGCUGGCGUAAUGGCUGUAAGCGG